rnacentral:rRNA from 1 species
CCUACGGGAGGCAGCAGUGAGGAAUAUUGGUCAAUGGCCGCAGGGCUGAACCAGCCAAGUCGCGUGAGGGAUGACGGUCCUAUGGAUUGUAAACCUCUUUUGCCGGGGAGCAAAAAGCGGUACGCGUACCGCAUCGAGAGUACCCGGAGAAAAAGCAUCGGCUAACUCCGUGCCAGCAGCCGCGGUAAU